rnacentral:lncRNA from 1 species
CAAAUAAGCUCACUUUACCACAGUGAAACUCAGUUAUAGGAACUAACAAAUAACACAACACUUUCACUUCUCUCUCUCUUUCUUCACUUAUCAUACACACUACCGCUACCAUUCUCUUCAAAGUCACAUCCUUUUUUAUUUUCAAGUGAACUUCUCAAGUGGGUUGUUGUGAUUAUUCGAUUACGCAAUUGAUCUGGUUCAAAGUUUCGUUUUUUAUGCUGUGAUUUAGCUGCUUAAUCAAUUUGAAAUGGUGGGUCAGUGUUAGAUUUCGAAAAUGAAGAGGAAGGUGAUUCUUCAUCACCAGAAAUCUCAGCAGCACAAAUGGAAGAGGAAGAUUUUGACUUUGAUCUUUGUGGUUGGAGUUUGUUUUGGAACAUUGUUGUUUGUUCAGACAAGGUACAAUGAUGUUUUUGGGUUGGUUUCAUUUCAGCACCAAAUGGUUUCUCAAUCUCAAGUUCAGAUCCCAAAGAUUGCUUUUCUCUUCAUUGCAAGAAAUAGGCUUCCUUUGGAAAUGGUUUGGGAUGCAUUCUUUAAGGGAGGUAAUAAUAACUUCUCAAUUUUCGUCCACUCGAGGCCCGGGUUUCUGUUCAACAAUGCAACAACUCGGUCAACAUAUUUUUUGAAUCGUCAAGUGAAUGAUAGCACACAGGUAGAUUGGGGAGAAGCAAGCAUGAUAGAGGCUGAGCGCAUUUUGCUUAGACAUGCGCUUAGUGAUCCUUUAAACGACCGUUUUGUUUUUCUCUCAGAUAGUUGAUUGAUUUCUUUUCAGCUGUAUACCUUUGUACAACUUCAGCUACACAUAUGACUACAUCAUGUCAACGCCGACUAGUUUCGUCGACAGGUGAGGAUAAUGCAUACUUGUUAUAUGCUUUAGCACAUUGAAAAAUGCAUCCCGUUAUUCCUGUUCGUAGCUGGAGGAAAGGAUCCCAGUGGGGUGUUCUGACCCGAAAGCAUGCCAUUGCUGUAGUGGAGGAUGAAACCGUCUUUCCAAUGCCAUUGCUGGAUAGAAUCUAGGUGUA